GAACUCACUCAUCCCUAACCAAGCUUACGCUCAAACCGCCCAAAUCCGCAAUCCGAUAUACGUGGCAAACGUUCCUCAACAAAGGGCAUACGGACGCAGAUACUUACCUGUUUUGAUAACAUGUAUCCUUGUGUUAUCGUUGAUCAUCGGAGGAAUUAUUGCAGGGUUUCCAUUCCGUACCCGGGAUAUUGAACUGCAAAACAUUACCAGUGACUCUUUCUGGACAACAAAAACAACACAGUCGUGGACUUCAUACAGCUCACAAGGUACAAAAAUGUAGCCUCAUUUGAUUGGU